rnacentral:sRNA from 1 species
GCUGACCAUCACAGGCACACAGAGGCACAUCCACCUCACAUCCACCUCAUACUUGUGUACUCUCAGGGUUCAAUCUUUCAUCCUAUCCCUCUCUGAUCUGUGCCUCCCAAUACCUUCCAAGAUGUUUACAGAGACCCUUCUCCCUGUGCAGUUAGGAGUGUAAGGCAAGACAGCCCCUACUUCAUGGGGCAGAUCAAGAGCUGAGACCAAAGAUGGUCUAUGUUGCUGACCUUGUCCUGUCCUCCUGCUGUCUUAAACUAUGAUCCCUGCUGCGGUCACUGAAGCCUUUCCCUCCAAUCCAUCCUCCAUUAAGGCUGUCAGCACUUUGGGGUGCCUGCCAUCAGGAGUCCCCCAUAUAUGUAGGGGUGCUAUUUCACAGAGAUCAUCCUUUGGCAUGCCUAAACAGAACCAGGUGAGCAGUGGUGUGUGAGAGCCAGGCGUCCCUCUGCCUGCCCACUCAGUGGCAACUCCCGGGAGCUGUUUUGUCCUUUGUGGAGCCUCAGCAGUUCCCUCUUUCAGAACUCGCUGCCAAGAGCCCUGAACAGGAGCCACCAUGCAGUGCUUCAGCUUCAUUAAGACCAUGAUGAUCCUCUUCAAUUUGCUCAUCUUUCUGUGUGGUGCGGCCCUGUUGGCAGUGGGCAUCUGGGUGUCAAUCGAUGGGGCAUCCUUUCUGAAGAUCUUCGGGCCACUGUCGUCCAGUGCCAUGCAGUUUGUCAACGUGGGCUACUUCCUCAUCGCAGCCGGCGUUGUGGUCUUUGCUCUUGGUUUCCUGGGCUGCUAUGGUGCUAAGACUGAGAGCAAGUGUGCCCUCAUGACGUUCUUCUUCAUCCUCCUCCUCAUCUUCAUUGCUGAGGUUGCAGCUGCUGUGGUCGCCUUGGUGUACACCACAA